rnacentral:tRNA from 1 species
GGGGAUAUAGUUUAAAGGUCGAACACAAACUUUGCACGUAUGAAAUAUGGAUUCGAUUUCCAUUAUCUCCA